UUUUUUUUUAUAAUGAUAUUUAUUGAGAUUUCAAAAAGAAUACAAAAAUUACACAAUAACAAAAAAUAGAAAAUACAAAAACUUACACAAUAAAAAGAAAAAGAUACAAAAGUAAAAAUAAAAAUAUAAGAAAGUGAAAAAUACAGAAGAAAAAUAAUAAUAGAGAAGAAAAGAAAACAUUAGACCUCCUCCACCUCCCUUCCUUUGUAUUCUAGUUGUUAAUUAUCCCAGCAAAUCCUUUCCAUCUUUCUAUGAUAGAAUAAACCUUAAAAUUUAAAAUUUAGAUCUUAACUUUACCAGCUUCUUAUGUUCAUAAUGUUCUUUCAUAAUUCUUUAUACAUCUUUACUAAAGCCAGGUAAUUUCUUCCAACAUUUUUCUAUCAUUCAUUUUUCUAUCAUUCUAUCAUUCAACAACUUUAUAAAACAUUCUGUUAAUUG